CAGCAAUGAUGUAGAGAGCAUAGCAACCACCCUGGGAGGGCUUAUGGGCCAUAACAACCAGUUGACCAAUCAACACAGGGCAAGCCCUCCAAGCCUGGAGGCACACCAAUCGUGAGCCUAUGCGUACCCCUAGACACUCCCCUUACGCUGUCCUAUAAGAUCUCUUGGGAGGCCCUAGGAGCCAUCUUUUGCUAGCCAUCUGCCAUGGUGGGUGGGUGAAAGACCCGAGCUAACAUGGGGUUAGCUCGUUAAAUUACAAUAAAGCCUCGUGCAGUUUGCAUCAAGCUCUCGAAUCCGCCUGGUGAUUGGGGUGACCGAAGUCGUGGCCUGAGAUCCCGGAUACUUGAGUUUUCCGGGGGGUCUAACAUUUGGGGGCUUGUCCGGGACUUGCGACCACCCCUCACCUGAGUGGAUUCGAACUUGGAGCCUUCAUCCAGCAGCUGGUGGAAGUAGAAGCAGACACCCACAACUAAUCACUGAACUGAACUGGAAUCCAGAUGCAGAGAAGGAUGAGUGAUGGGCAAAGGAGUCCAGACCAGGCUGGUGAAACCCACAGAAACAGCUGACCUGAAAAACGGGAAGCUCUGGGUCCCCAGACUGAUAGCUGGGAUACCAGCAUGGGACUGAUCCAGACCCCAGAAAUGAUCAUUCUUGCGCGGCUCCACGUUGAGCCGACAGUGGCGCUCAGGAGAGGACAUUGCCCCAUCUCUCGCAAGAGUUCUCAAAGUUCUGUCAGCGAGUCUUUUCCUCAGCCUCCUACGUCGCCGGGAUCUUCUUCGCCUCAUGAAAAUCUUUUGAACCUGUAAGGACAGCACAGUGGUGAAGCUUCUCAGUUUCAGGAGGUCCCACUUAUUAAUUGCAGACCUCAAUGGCUGUGCUACUGGCAUAAUGUUCAGGAAGCGGUCUCCUGUGCCAAUUUGUUCAAGGGUAAUUCCCACGUUCUCUUCUAGAAGAUUCAGUGUGGCUGGAUUUAUGGAGAGAUCUUUGAUCCAUUUGCACUUAAGUUUCGUGCAUGGUGACAGGUAUGGAUCAAUCUGCAAUCUUCUGCAUGUCUGAAUCCAAUUGUAGCAGCACCAUUUGUUGAAGAUGCUAUCUUUUUUCCAUCAUAUAGAUUUAGCACCUUUGCCAGAAAUAAGGUAUUCGUAGGUGUGUGGGUCAAUAUCAGGGUAUUCAAUUAGAUUCCAUUGGUCUAUCUGUCUAUUUUUGUGCCAAUACCAAGCUGUUUUCAGAACUAUGGCUCUAUAGCAGAGCUUGAAGUCGGGGAUGGUGAUGCCUCCUGAAGAUCCUUUAUUAUAAAUAAUUGUUUUGGCUAUCCUGGGUUUUUUAUUUUUCUAUAUAAAGUUGAGUAUUGUUCUUUCAAUGUCUGUGAAAAACUGUGUUGGGAUUUUGAUGGGGAUUGCAUUGAAUCUGUAGAUUGCUUUUGGCAGGAUUGCCAUUUUUACUAUGUUAAUUCUACCUAUCCAAGAGCAUGGGAGAUCUUUCCAUUUUCUGGUAUCUUCUUUAAUUUCUUUCUUUAAAGUCUCAAAUUUCUUAUUGUACAGGUCUUUCACUUUUUUGGAUAGUGUUACCCCAAGAUAUUUUAUGUUGCUUGUGAUAUUGUGAAAGGUGAUGUUUCCCUGAUUUCUUUCUCAUUGGAUUUGUCUUCUGUAUAUAGUAGGGCUACUGAUUUUUUUGAGUUAAUUUUGUAUCCUGCUACGUUGCUGAAGGUGUUUAUCAGCAGUAGGAGCUCCCUGGUAGAGGUUUUUUUUGGUCACUAAUGUAGACUAUCAUGUCGUCUGCAAAUAGUGAAAGUUUGACUUCAUCCUUUCCAAUUUGUAUCCCUUUGAUCCUCUUUUCUUGUCUUAUUGCUAUAGCCAGAACUUCAAGUACAAUAUUGAAGAGAUAUGGAGAGAGUGGACAGCUUUGUCUUGUUCCUGAUUUUACAGGAAACACUUUGAGUUUCUCUCCAUUUAGUUUGAUGUAGGCUAUUGGUUUGUUGUAUAUUGCGUUUAUCAUGUUUAGAUAUGUUCCUGUUAUUCCUGUUCUCUCCAAGAUCUUUAUCAUGAAGGGAUGUUGGAUUUUGUCAAAGGCUUUUUCAGCAUCUAGUGAGAUGAUCAUGUGGUUUUUCUUUUUCAGUUUGUUUAUAUGGUGGAUUACAUUGAUGGAUUUUCCUAUGUUGAACCAUCCUUGCAUCCCUGGGAUGAAGCCUACUUGAUCAUGGUGUAUGAUUUUUCUGAUAUGUUCUUGGAUUCGGUUCGCCAAUAUUUUAUUGAGUAUUUUAGCAUCGAUGUUCAUGAGGGAUAUCCGUCUGUAGUUCUCUUUCUUAGUGAUAUCUUUGUGUGGCUUGGGUAUCAAAGUGAUUGUAGCCUCGUAGAAAGAGUUUGGCAAUAUCCCAUCUGCUUCUAUUGUGCGGAACAGUUUGAGGAGUACUGGAAUUAGCUCUUGUUUGAAUUUCUGGUAGAAUUCUGCGGUGAAGUCAUCUGGCCCUGGGCUUUUUUUGGUUGGGAGGCUUUUGAUGACUGCUUUUAUUUCAUUAGGGGUUAUAGGUCGAUUUAAACUGUUUAUCUGAUCUCGAUUUAAUUUUGGUAAGUGAUAUUUAUCCAGAAAGCUGUUCAUUUCCUUUAGAUUUUCCAAUUUUGUGGAGUACAGGUUUUCAAAGUAUGACCUGAAUAUUCUCUGUAUUUCCUCAGGGUCCAUUGUUAUAUCCCCCUUUUCAUUUCUGAUUUUGUUAAUUAGCAUGGUCUCUCUCUGCCUUUUGGUUAGUUUGGCUAGAGGUUUGUCUAUCUUAUUGAUCUUCUCAAAG
rnacentral:lncRNA from 1 species